GACGAACGCUGGCGGCGUGCCUAACACAUGCAAGUCGAGCGAGGGACUUCGGCCCCUAGCGGCGGACGGGUGAGUAACACGUGGGUAACCUGCCUCAUAGAGGGGGAUAGCCUCCCGAAAGGGAGAUUAAUACCGCAUAAUAUCAUGCUAACGCAUGUUAGAAUGAUCAAAGGAGCAAUCCGCUAUGAGACGGACCCGCGGCGCAUUAGCUAGUUGGUGAGGUAACGGCUCACCAAGGCGACGAUGCGUAGCCGACCUGAGAGGGUGAUCGGCCACAUUGGAACUGAGACACGGUCCAGACUCCUACGGGAGGCAGCAGUGGGGAAUAUUGCACAAUGGGCGAAAGCCUGAUGCAGCAACGCCGCGUGAGUGAAGAAGGUUUUCGGAUCGUAAAACUCUGCUGUUAGGGAAGAACAAGUACGAGAGUAACUGCUCGUACCUUGACGGUACCUAACCAGAAAGCCACGGCUAACUAC
rnacentral:rRNA from 1 species